rnacentral:rRNA from 1 species
AAACUUUCAACAACGGAUCUCUUGGUUCUCGCAUCGAUGAAGAACGCAGCGAAAUGCCGAUAAGUAAUAUGAAUUGCAGAUAUUCGUGAAUCAUCGAAUCUUUGAACGCACAUUGCGCCCUUUGGUAUUCCAAAGGGCAUGCCUGUUUGAGCGUCAUUU